AUGACCACGGAAGAUAAGAGCGAAGUGGAAAUAAUCUGGGAGCAGCUGACUCAGCAGUGGAGAGGCCAACAGAUGUGCCUACAGAGCAGGAUGACAUCUGUAGAGAAUACUACAGACCUGAUGGAGUCUGCAGAGGAUCAGAUGGAGAUGAUCACAGAAAAACUCGACCGGAUCCUCAGAGAGUCCGUGGACAUCUCCUCCUUCAACUUGGCUGAUCCUACACUGUUGUCUGAUUUAGAGGUACAUCUAAGCUGUUUUCAAACAAUUAGCACUUUAAUUCUGGGAGUAAAAUACGCACAUAUCAAUCAUAAACCCCUCUUGUGUUCCCCAGGAACUGG
rnacentral:lncRNA from 1 species